rnacentral:rRNA from 1 species
CUGGCCGUAAACGAUGGAUACUAGGUGUGGGGGGUAUCGACCCCUCCCGUGCCGGAGUUAACGCAAUAAGUAUCCCGCCUGGGGAGUACGACCGCAAGGUUGAAACUCAAAGGAAUUGACGGGGGCCCGCACAAGCGGUGGAGUAUGUGGUUUAAUUCGACGCAACGCGAAGAACCUUACCAGGUCUUGACAUUGAUUGACCGGUAUAGAGAUAUACCUUUCUCCUUCGGGAGACAAGAAAACAGGUGG